GUACACAAAAAUGCACAUAUUGUGAGCUCGAUGAGUAGGGCGGGACACGUGGUAUCCUGUCUGAAUAUGGGGGGACCAUCCUCCAAGGCUAAAUACUCCUGACUGACCGAUAGUGAACCAGUACCGUGAGGGAAAGGCGAAAAGAACCCCGGCGAGGGGAGUGAAAAAGAACCUGAAACCGUGUACGUACAAGCAGUGGGAGCCUCUUUAUGGGGUGACUGCGUACCUUUUGUAUAAUGGGUCAGCGACUUAUAUUCUGUAGCAAGGUUAACCGAAUAGGGGAGCCGAAGGGAAACCGAGUCUUAACUGGGCGUUAAGUUGCAGGGUAUAGACCCGAAACCCGGUGAUCUAGCCAUGGGCAGGUUGAAGGUUGGGUAACACUAACUGGAGGACCGAACCGACUAAUGUUGAAAAAUUAGCGGAUGACUUGUGGCUGGGGGUGAAAGGCCAAUCAAACCGGGAGAUAGCUGGUUCUCCCCGAAAGCUAUUUAGGUAGCGCCUCGUGAAUUCAUCUCCGGGGGUAGAGCACUGUUUCGGCAAGGGGGUCAUCCCGACUUACCAACCCGAUGCAAACUGCGAAUACCGGAGAAUGUUAUCACGGGAGACACACGGCGGGUGCUAACGUCCGUCGUGAAGAGGGAAACAACCCAGACCGCCAGCUAAGGUCCCAAAGUCAUGGUUAAGUGGGAAACGAUGUGGGAAGGCCCAGACAGCCAGGAUGUUGGCUUAGAAGCAGCCAUCAUUUAAAGAAAGCGUAAUAGCUCACUGGUCGAGUCGGCCUGCGCGGAAGAUGUAACGGGGCUAAACCAUGCACCGAAGCUGCGGCAGCGACACUAUGUGUUGUUGGGUAGGGGAGCGUUCUGUAAGCCUGUGAAGGUGGCCUGUGAGGGUUGCUGGAGGUAUCAGAAGUGCGAAUGCUGACAUAAGUAACGAUAAAGCGGGUGAAAAGCCCGCUCGCCGGAAGACCAAGGGUUCCUGUCCAACGUUAAUCGGGGCAGGGUGAGUCGACCCCUAAGGCGAGGCCGAAAGGCGUAGUCGAUGGGAAACAGGUUAAUAUUCCUGUACUUGGUGUUACUGCGAAGGGGGGACGGAGAAGGCUAUGUUGGCCGGGCGACGGUUGUCCCGGUUUAAGCGUGUAGGCUGGUUUUCCAGGCAAAUCCGGAAAACCAAGGCUGAGGCGUGAUGACGAGGCACUACGGUGCUGAAGCGACAAAUGCCCUGCUUCCAGGAAAAGCCUCUAAGCAUCAGGUAACAUCAAAUCGUACCCCAAACCGACACAGGUGGUCAGGUAGAGAAUACCAAGGCGCUUGAGAGAACUCGGGUGAAGGAACUAGGCAAAAUGGUGC
rnacentral:rRNA from 1 species